rnacentral:tRNA from 1 species
GAGGGUGUAGCUCAGUGGCAGAGUGUAUGUUUAACAUGCGUGAGGUCCUGGGAUCAAUCCCUAGUACCUCUG